CCGCCCACUUGCCCUUCCCUCCCUCCCUCCCUCCCUCUCUCUCUCUCUCUCCAUAUUUGUAAGGCCGUUCGUGUCGCGUGCCGUUGCCUGUGACGUCAUGAGAUGGUCGGUGUCGCGGGCUACGUGGAGCUGCUGUCCCGCUGCGGCGAGGCGCGGGCGAUCGCGCGGAUCCAGGCGGCGCUGGUCACGUCGGGGCGGCUCCGGCGGAGCGCGGAGCUCCACGACGCGCUCAUCCGGGCGCUCUCCCGCUCCGCGCGCCCGCACCUCGCGCGCCCGCUCUACGCGCACCUCCUCCGCGCGGGCCUCCUCCCCACCCCGCACACCCUCCCCUCCCUCCUCAAGUCGAUCGCGCUGUCCCCGGCGGCCCCGGGCGCAGCGGUGCUGGCGCUCGCCGUGCACGCCCACGCCGUCAAGCUCGGACUGGAGCGGUUCCUCCUCGUGAGCAACGCGCUCAUCCGCGUGCACGCCGGCCUCCUCGGCCGGCUCGACGAUGGGCUUCUGCUUCUGCGGACAGCUGCUGCCGUGGACGCCGCCUCGUUCAACACCCUCAUUACGGCCUACGCGAGGGCGGGUCGGGUGGCGGACGCCCGGAAGCUGUUCGACGAAAUGCCUGCCAGGAAUGCUGUGUCUUGGAGCGCUAUGGUUAAUGGGUAUGUGCAGGCUGGGGAUGGGAUGGAGGCUCUGGAGAUGUUUGCACGGAUGCAAGCUGAAGGUGUUUGCCCGGAUGACACGGUGCUUGUUGGGGUGCUAGCAGCAUGUGCGCAGCACGGGGCGCUGGAGCAGGGUAAGUGGGUGCAUGGUUACCUGAAGGCUAACGGCACUAGGAUCACUCUGUUUUUGGGCACUGCUUUGGUUGAUAUGUAUGCCAAAUGUGGUGAGGUGCAGCUUGCAAUGGACGUAUUUGAGACAAUGAAGGACAAGAAUGUGCUGGCUUGGACUACUAUGAUAAAAGGCCUGGCAAUCCAUGGUCGAGGAUCAGAGGCAUUAGCGCUCUUCUUGCAGAUGGAGAGCUCAGGUGUCAGGCCGGAUGAUAUUGCUUUCAUUGGCGCAUUGUGUGCGUGCACACAUGCGGGUUUGGUUGACAAGGGUCGGGAGCUUUUUGAUUCCAUGGUGAUGAAAUAUGGCAUUAAACCAAAGAUUGAGCACUACGGAUGCAUGGUAGAUCUUCUGGCACGAAACGGCUUGCUUGACGAGGCAAAAGAGAUGAUUCAGAAAAUGCCCAUGAAACCAGAUGCCCUGAUUUGGGGAGCUCUCAUGGCUGGUUGUAGAUUUCACAAGAAUGUGGAGUUGGCUGAGUAUGUUGUCAAGCAUUGGAUUUUGUUGGAACCUGACAAAAGUGGUGCCUAUGUACUUUUAGCUAACAUUUAUGCUGCUUCAGGUAGGCAUAAUUCUGCGAGGAAAAUUAGGCACCUAAUGCGUGAAAAGGGAGUUGACAAGACACCUGGUUGUAGCACUGUGGAGAUUAAAGGAAUUAUUCACCAAUUCAUUGUUGGAGAUCUGUCUCAUCCACACAUAAAAGAUAUUUUGACAAAGUGGCAUGAGAUUGAUAGUAGAAUUAGGUUAGAGGAGGGUUACAUCCCAGAUAAGAAGGAAGUGUUGGUUGACAUUGAAGAAGAGGAGAAGGAGGAUGCUCUCCGCCGGCACAGUGAGAAGCUGGCAAUUGCUUUUGCUUUGAUUAGUACUAGUGACAACAUGCCUAUUCGGAUAGUCAAGAACCUCAGAGUUUGCCAUGAUUGUCAUCAUGUCACCAAACUAAUAUCCAAAGUAUAUGGGAGAGAAAUUAUUGUUAGAGAUCGAACACGCUUCCAUUUGUUCAAAGAUGGCAGUUGUUCUUGCAAGGACUAUUGGUAACAGAUAAUAAAGUUUGCGCAGAUAUUGGUACCUGAUUCAUGAGUAUUAGUUAGUCAAAAAACUUUUGUUCGUCAAGAUUCUGAGUAUCAGGGAUUCCCAAGUGGAGGGAAUGAGGUUUUUGAUCUUACUAUUGUGAAGCCUUCUGACUUUGUGGAAUAUGCUCUGGCUUGUUUGGAACAACUUGCUGAGUCUGGGGAUCAUAGCGCAAGGUUCGUUCGCGAUAAUUUGCGAGUCAUGGU